ACGAACGCUGGCGGCGUGCUUAACCCAUGCAAGUCGAACGGAAAGGCCCUGCUUUUGUGGGGUGCUCGAGUGGCGAACGGGUGAGUAACACGUGGGUAACCUGCCCUUGACUUUGGGAUAACUUCAGGAAACUGGGGCUAAUACCGGAUAGGAGCUCCUGCUGCAUGGUGGGGGUUGGAAAGUUUCGGCGGUUGGGGAUGGACUCGCGGCUUAUCAGCUUGUUGGUGGGGUAGUGGCUUACCAAGGCUUUGACGGGUAGCCGGCCUGAGAGGGUGACCGGCCACAUUGGGACUGAGAUACGGCCCAGACUCCUACGGGAGGCAGCAGUGGGGAAUAUUGCACAAUGGGCGGAAGCCUGAUGCAGCAACGCCGCGUGCGGGAUGACGGCCUUCGGGUUGUAAACCGCUUUCGCCUGUGACGAAGCGUGAGUGACGGUAAUGGGUAAAGAAGCACCGGCUAACUACGUG
rnacentral:rRNA from 1 species